AGAGUUUGAUCAUGGCUCAGGACGAACGCUGGCGGCGUGCCUAACACAUGCAAGUCGAACGGAGCUGAAAUGAUUUUUUUGAAGCUUGCUUUAAAGAAUGAUUUUUAGCUUAGUGGCGGACGGGUGAGUAAUGCGUGAGCAACCUGCCUGUCAGUGGGGGAUAACUUCCGGAAACGGACGCUAAUACCGCAUAUAGUACAUAAUCCGCAUGGAUAAGUGUAUGAAAGGAGCAAUCCGCUGAUAGAUGGGCUCACGUCCGAUUAGUUUGUUGGUGGGGUAACGGCCUACCAAGACUGCGAUCGGUAGCCGGGCUGAGAGGCUGAACGGCCACAUUGGGACUGAGACACGGCCCAGACUCCUACGGGAGGCAGCAGUGGGGGAUAUUGCACAAUGGGGGAAACCCUGAUGCAGCAACGCCGCGUGAGGGAUGAAGGUUUUCGGAUUGUAAACCUCUGUCCUUAGUGAAGAAAAAAAUGACGGUAACUAAGGAGGAAGCUCCGGCUAACUACGUGCCAGCAGCCGCGGUAAUACGUAGGGAGCAAGCGUUGUCCGGAUUUAUUGGGUGUAAAGGGUGCGUAGGCGGCUAUGUAAGUCAGACGUGUAAUGCAGAGGCUUAACCUCUGAACUGCGUUUGAAACUGUGUAGCUUGAGUGGAGUAGAGGCAGAUGGAAUUUCCAGUGUAGCGGUGAAAUGCGUAGAUAUUGGAAGGAACACCAGUGGCGAAGGCGAUCUGCUGGGCUCUAACUGACGCUGAUGCACGAAAGCAUGGGGAGCAAACAGGAUUAGAUACCCUGGUAGUCCAUGCCGUAAACGAUGUCAAUUAGGAGCUUGGGCAAAAGUCUGGGUUCCGCAGCUAACGCAAUAAAUUGACCGCCUGGGGAGUACGGCCGCAAGGUUAAAACUCAAAUGAAUUGACGGGGGCCCGCACAAGCGGUGGAGCAUGUGGUUUAAUUCGACGCAACGCGAAGAACCUUACCUGAUCUUGACAUCGUAAGAACCUCACUGAAGGGUGAGGGUGCCUUCGGGAACUUACAGACAGGUGCUGCAUGGCUGUCGUCAGCUCGUGUCGUGAGAUGUUGGGUUAAGUCCCGCAACGAGCGCAACCCUUGUCCUUUGUUGCCAGCGGGUAAAGCCGGGAACUCAAAGGAGACUGCCAGUGACAAACUGGAGGAAGGCAGGGAUGACGUCAAGUCAUCAUGGCCCUUACGGUCAGGGCUACACACGUGCUACAAUGGGGCGUACAGAGGGAAACGAUACCGCGAGGUGGAGUGGAACCCAAAAAGCGUCCCUAAGUUCGGAUUGGAGUCUGCAACUCGACUCCAUGAAGUCGGAAUCGCUAGUAAUCGCAAAUCAGAAUGUUGCGGUGAAUACGUUCCCGGGUCUUGUACACACCGCCCGUCACACCAUGGGAGUCAGAAAUGCCCGAAGCCCGUGAGCUAACCGCAAGGGAGCAGCGGUCGAAGGCAGGUCUGGUGACUGGGGUGAAGUCGUAACAAGGUAGCCGUAUCGGAAGGUGCGGCUGGAUCACCUCCUU
rnacentral:rRNA from 1 species